AGUCAUCACUUUGCUAAAUCCCAAUUUCACCCUCACUCUCGCGCUCAAUUCGCCUUCUCUAUCUCCUUCUCAUUUCUGUUCGAUCAAAUCUCAACCUCACUUCACGCUCCAUUCAUCCAUUCCAACCUUUCGUUUUUCCUUGCAUCUCACGUCACCAAACAAUGCCGAUUUCGUAACCAUCUCUGUCUGCAUGCGCGUCUGUGUAUUCUUUUCUUUGUAGAGCUCCGUGAUAUCUUUGCAUGAACAUGUCUCCGCGUUUGAUGUGAAUCCAACAUCUCUGCUGCGUUGAUCCGUUCUCGCAACGUGUGAGGCGAUUCCAGAUUCUGUGGAUUGGAGUUUGCAUUAUUUGAAUGAAUAUUUACUAGCUUCUUUGGUGGUAGUAUAAUGGAAGAAGAGGAAGAACUAAAAAAGACAAAAAUAUCUGAUAAUGGAUUAGAUAGUCGUGAAGUGAUAGACAGGGGUGUGGAACAAGUUGUUGAGAGUUCUCAGAAAGGAAAUGUUGACAUUGAGGAUGAACAAUGUAAGUUUAAAUAUUCAUCUGGGAUGUACUCACCAGACUGUAAUUCUUCCCCAGUUUCUGACAGGCAACAUGAUCAUCUUUCUUAUAGCCCUGGGUCAGAGGGGCAUUUUAGUCAUACAAACAAGGAGCAUGCUCCAUCGGUUAGUUUUGGUUCACCUGUAUGUUCUCCACAGAAGCCUAGGGAUAAAAACGCUGCGACAAAUACGUCUGCAGAGUUAUUGCACUUAGUUGAUUCUGCUAUCAUGGGAAAACCUGAAGGUAUGGAGAAACUGAAGAAUAUUGCAAGUGGUGUAGAAAUUCUUGGGAAUGGUGAAGAAAUGGAGAGCGUGUCUUUCUUAAUAGUAGAUUCACUUCUUGCAACAAUGGGUGGUGUUGAAAGUUUCGAAGAGGAUGGUGAUAAUCCUCCUAGUGUAAUGCUGAAUUCUCGGGCAGCCAUUGUGUCAGGUGAAUUGAUUCCUUGGCUUCCUUACAUAGGUGAUUCUGAUGUUGUCAUGUCACCAAGGACACGAAUGGUGAGGGGACUACUUGCCAUAUUACGGGCAUGCACUAGAAACAGAGCAAUGUGCUCAAUGGCUGGUCUGUUAGCAGUUCUGUUGAGAACAGCCGAAAAAAUUUUCACUGUAGAUGUUGGCUUAGACGGGCAAAUAAGGUGGGAUGGAACUCCUUUGUGCCGCUGCAUACAAUACUUGGCUGGGCAUUCUCUUAGUGUUAGUGAUCUUCAUAGAUGGUUUCAAGUCAUUACAGGAACACUUACCACAAUUUGGGCUUCACAAUUGAUGCUUACAUUAGAAAAAGCUAUAAACGAAAAGGAAUCUAGUGGACCAGCUUGCACUUUUGAAUUUGAUGGGGAAAGUUCUGGUUUGCUUGGUCCAGGUGAGGGUCGCUGGCCAUUUAUCCAUGGGUAUGGAUUUGCUACUUGGAUCUACAUUGAAUCAUUUGCUGAUGCACUAAAUACAGCUACCGUUGCUGCUGCAAUUGCUGCCGCUGCAUCUGCUAAAUCAGGAAAGUCAUCAGCUAUGUCAGCUGCUGCAGCAGCUAGUGCACUUGCUGGUGAAGGUACAGCACACAUGCCACGGUUAUUUAGUUUUUUAUCUGCUGAUAAUCAGGGUAUAGAGGCUUAUUUUCAUGCUCAAUUUUUGGUUGUUGAAAUUGGUUGUGGAAAGGGAAAGAAAUCUGCUUUACAUUUUACUUAUGCAUUUAGACCACAGUGCUGGUACUUUGUUGGUCUUGAACAUACAAGCAGGAACGGAAUUCUUGGGAAUGCAGAAAAUGAAAUUAGGUUAUAUGUAGAUGGAUCUUUACAUGAAAUUCGUCCUUUUGAGUUUCCUAGAAUUUCCAAACCCCUUGCAUUUUGCUGCAUAGGAACUAACCCUCCUCCUACUAUGGCUGGCUUGCAACGCCGUCGCCGUCAAUGCCCUUUGUUUGCUGAGAUGGGGCCUGUUUACAUCUUCAAGGAACCCAUUGGCCCAGAAAGGAUGGCACGCUUGGCUUCUAGAGGAGGGGAUGUAGUACCCUCUUUUGGUAAUGCAGCAGGGCUACCAUGGCUUGCAACAAAUGCUCAUGUGCAGAGCAACACAGAGGAAAGUGUUAUUUUGGAUGCAGAAAUUGGAGAUUUCAUUCACCUACUCUACCAUCCUAGAUUGCUUAGUGGGCGUUUCUGUCCAGAUGCUUCACCUUCUGGUGCUGCAGGAUUGGUUCGACGCCCAGCUGAGGUUCUUGGGCAAGUUCAUGUUGCUACACGAAUUCGACCAGUGGAUGCUUUGUGGGCAUUGGCUUAUGGUGGUCCAUUAUCUUUGCUUCCCUUAGCAAUUAGCAAUGUACAUGAGGAUACUCUAGAACCGAGGGAAGGGAAUUUUUCUGUGUCUGUAGCCACUACAUCUCUUGCUGGUCCAAUACUUCGAAUUAUAUCAACAGCUAUUCAACAUCCGAAGAACAAUGAGGAGUUGGCUCGUUGCAAAGGGCCUGAGAUUCUUUCAAAGAUUUUGAAUUAUCUUCUUCAAACCCUGUCUUCACUUUGUGAUGGAAAGAAUGAUGGUGUAGGUGAUGAGGAACUUGUUGCUGCAGUUGUCUCACUUUGUCUAUCUCAGAAAAUCAACCAUACGCUCAAGGUGCAGCUCUUCACUACACUCUUGCUGGAUUUAAAAAUCUGGAGUUUAUGUAGUUAUGGCAUACAAAAGAAGCUUCUAUCAUCACUUGCCGACAUGGUUUUCACUGAGUCGGUAGUGAUGCGAGAGGCCAAUGCAAUUCAGAUGCUUCUUGAUGGCUGCAGAAAAUGCUAUUGGACUGUUCCUGAAAAAGAUUCAGUAGAUAAUUUUUCUCUAACUGGAUCAACAAGACCAAUGGGUGAAGUCAAUGCUUUGGUUGACGAGCUCUUGGUAGUAAUUGAACUUCUAAUAGUGGCAGCAUCUCCUUCAUUGGCCUCCGAUGAUGUCCGAUGUUUACUAGGAUUCAUGGUUGACUGUCGACAACCUGGUCAGAUUGCUAGGGUGUUGCAUCUCUUCUACAGGUUGGUUGUGCAGCCUAAUACGGCUAGAGCUCACUCAUUUGCAAAAGCAUUCCUAGCUUGUGGUGGGAUAGAAACUCUUCUUGUUCUGAUCCAAAGAGAAGCUAAAGAUGGAGAAAGUGAUGUCUUGGAUUCGUUGUCAAAGAAUCCUGAAUUUCAAAAAAAUGAAACUGAUGGUAUCAGUGAAAUCAUAGAAACAUUUCAGGAUGAUGAAGGAUCCAAUGGGAAAAGUGAAGCCAUCUUACAAGACAAUGACUUUGGUUCUCAAUCUGUUGACAGUGGCAGUAACAUUGAUCCUAGUUCUCCUGAUGUUAAUAUUGAAAGGAUGACAUUUACCUCAGAAAUUCCAUCUGUCAAGAAUUUGGGAGGCAUAAGUUUAUCCAUCAGUGCUGACAGUGCUAGGAAGAAUGUUUAUAAUGUUGAUAAAAGUGAUGGCAUUGUUGUUGGGGUUGUAGGUCUCUUAGGUGCUUUAGUAGCUUCUGGGUAUCUGAGGUUUGGUUCCCGUGCUGGUCCAGAUACAACAAGGAACCUUUUGGGUGUUGGACUGCAUGAUGGAGGUGGUACUAUGUUUGAUGAUAAGGUUUCUUUUCUUUUUUAUGCCUUACAAAAGGCUUUCCAAGCAGCACCCAGUAGGCUAAUGACAAACAAUGUCUAUCGAGCUUUAUUGACUGCCUCGAUCAAUGCUUCUUCAACAGAGAAUGGGCUAAACUUGUAUGAUUCUGGCCAUCGCUUUGAACAUUUACAGCUUUUACUGGUGCUUUUGCAUUCCCUUCCAUUUGCCUCUAGGCCUCUACAGAGCAGAGCACUACAGGACCUUCUAUUUUUGGCUUGCAGUCAUCCAGAAAAUAAAGGCAAACUGAAAAAUAUGGAGGAAUGGCCUGAAUGGAUUCUGGAGGUCCUAAUAUCAAACUACGAGUUGGGUCCAAGCAAAUCAUCUGAUUCGACGAGCCUUGGGGACAUAGAGGACCUUAUACAUAAAUUCCUUGUUAUUAUGCUAGAACAUUCAAUGCGCCAAAAGGAUGGAUGGAAGGAUAUUGAAGCAACAAUUCAUUGUGCAGAAUGGCUUUCUAUUAUAGGUGGAUCUAGCACAGGAGAACAGAGAAUUAGACGUGAAGAAUCAUUACCUAUAUUUAAGAGAAAACUCUUUGGUGGGUUGAUGGACUUUGCUGCUAGAGAAUUGCAGGUCCAGUCUCAAGUUAUUGCUAUGGCUGUUGCUGGUGUUGCAGCUGAGGGUUUGUCUCCAAAUGCUGCCAAGGCAGAGGCUGAGAAUGCUACUCACCUGUCUGUGGUUUUAGUGGAAAAUUCCAUUGUGAUACUUAUGCUUGUUGAGGAUCAUUUACGUUCACAGAGCAAGCAGUCCUCUUUACGUACUGCAGAUGGCUCUCCAUCUCCCCUCUCUCUCUUUUAUCCAAUGCGUAAUAACUCAACAUCAUUGUCAACAAGUGCAGAAUCAACAGAAGUUAGGGGUGACCGUACAUCAUCAUCUAGCAACUCUGGGCGAAUCUCUCUUGAUGUCCUUUCUUCAAUGGCUGAUGCAAAUGGUCAGAUCUCUACUUCAAUUAUUGAAAGGCUUGCUGCAGCAGCUGCAGCUGAUCCAUAUGAAUCUGUUUCUGGUGCUUUUGUAUCAUAUGGAUCCUGUGCUAAGGAUUUAGCUAUUGGGUGGAAAUAUAGAAGCCGUUUGUGGUAUGGUGUCGGCCUUCCACCAAAUACAGCUUCAUUUGGUGGUGGCGGGAGUGGAUGGGAAUUUUGGAAGUCUGUUUUGGAGAAAGAUACCAAUGGCUACUGGGUUGAACUUCCUUUGGUGAGGAAGUCUGUGGCAAUGCUGCAAGCAUUGUUGCUAGAUGAGUCUGGGCAUGGUGGUGGUCUUGGUAUAGGUGGAGGGUCAGGUACUGGAAUGGGAGCAAUGUCUGCGUUGUACCAGCUUUUAGACAGUGAUCAGCCAUUCUUGUGCAUGCUUCGGAUGGUUCUUCUAUCAAUGAGGGAAGAUGAUGAUGGGGAAGACCAUAUGCUGACAAAAACUGCAAGUAUUGGCGGUGUGAUGCCUGAAGGAAGGAAACUACACUCAACACUUUUGUGGAGUGUUCUCUCACCUAUUCUUAACAUGCCAAUUACUGAUUCUAAGAAACAAAGAGUCUUGGUAGCAUGUUGUGUGCUUUAUUCCGAGGUAUACCAUGCUAUUAGCAUAGACCGAAAGCUUCAUCGCAAAAAGUACAUUGAGGCUAUCAUACCACCAUUUAUUGCUGUCAUAAGGAGGUGGUGCCCCCUUUUGUCUGGAAUUCAUGAACUUGCCACCACUGAUGGUUUAAAUCCUCUUACAGUGGAUAAUCAAGCAUUAGCUAUUGAUGCCCAGCCGAUUGAGGCUGCUCUUGCUAUGAUAUCUCCCGACUGGGCUGCUGCUUUUGCAUCUCCACCUGCUGCAAUGGCAUUGUCUAUGAUUGCAGCUGGUACUUCAGGUAGUGAAAGUCAUGCUCCUUCAACAAAUGCCCAGCUUAGGCGUGAAACCUCAUUGCUGGAACGCAAACAGGCCAGGCUUCAUACAUUUUCAAGCUUUCAAAAGCCUUCGGAUGUCCCUAACAAAACACCACCAAUACCAAAGAACAAAGCAUCUGAAAAAGCUGCUGCAUUGGCUGCUGCUCGUGAUCUUCAACGAUUUUCAAGGAUUGGUUCUGGAAGAGGUCUUAGUGCCGUUGCAAUGGCUACAUCUGCACAGCGAAGGAGUGCUAGUGAUAUGGAGCGGGUUAAGAGGUGGAAUAUUACUGAAGCAAUGGCAACUGCCUGGAUGGAAUGUCUGCAGCCAGUUGAUACGAAGUCAGUAUACGAAAAAGAUUUCAAUGCUUUGUCAUAUAAAUUUAUUGCUGUUCUUGUUGCCUGUUUUGCCAUAGCAAGGAAUAUGCAGCGAUUUGAGAUUGAGAGGCAUGCUCGUGCAGAUAUAAUAUCUCGGCAUCGUAUCAGCACUGGAAUUCAUGCCUGGCGCAAGCUUAUUUGCGAGUUAAUCGAGAUGAGAAGUCUUUUUGGGCCUUUUUCUGAUUAUUUGUACAGCCCGAUUCGGGUGUUUUGGAAGCUUGAUUUUAUGGAAAGUUCUUCUAGGAUGAGAAGAUGUAUGAGGAGGAAUUAUCGAGGGUCUGAUCAUUUAGGUUCUGCUGUCAAUUAUGAGGAUUACUCGGGGGAUAAUAAUCAGAGAACUCCAGUUUUAUCAGCAGAGGCAAUCACAAUAGAAGCUGUAAAUGAUGACGAAGAAAAUUUGGAUGUUAGGGUUGAUGAUAUUGAAGAUAAAGUAGAGAAUCAAUCUUCCAAAGCAGCUAAGAAAAUUGGGCAAGACUCUUUAGAAUCCAAUGGUAUUCAGCUUGAAAGUGAUGGGGGUGUUGUUCAGAGUUCUUCAGCCUUUGCACCUGGUUAUGUUCCAAGUGAGCUUGAUGAAAGAAUUGUUUUUGAGCUGCCAUCAACAAUGGUCCAUCCGCUUAGGAUUAUACACGGAACCUUCCAAGUGACUAGUAGGAGGAUAAAUUUUAUAGUUGAUAAUAUUGAGGUGAGCGCCAAGAUGGAUGGCUUAAAUUUUGGUUCUAAGGCAGGGGACCAAGAAAAGAAUCGCAGCUGGUUAAUAUCUGCUCUUCAUCAAAUUUAUAGUCGAAGAUAUCUUCUUAGAAGAAGUGCACUGGAGCUAUUUAUGGUGGACCGUUCCAACUUCUUCUUUGACUUUGGGAGUAGUGAGGGGCGAAGAAAUGCAUAUCAAGCAAUUGUUCAUGCACGACCUCCAUAUUUAAACAAUAUAUAUUUAGCUACUCAGAGACCUGGACAACUUUUGAAAAGAACUCAGCUUAUGGAGCGUUGGGCUAGGUGGGAGAUCAGUAAUUUUGAGUAUCUAAUGCAACUCAAUACAUUGGCUGGGCGUAGUUAUAAUGAUAUAACCCAGUAUCCAGUUUUCCCUUGGAUUCUAUCUGAUUACAGUUCUCAGAACUUGGAUCUUUCUAAUCCUUCUUCUUACCGGGAUCUUUCAAAGCCUGUUGGAGCACUGAACCCAGAUCGUCUGAAAAAAUUUCAAGAGAGAUACACUAGCUUUGAUGAUCCUGUCAUCCCUAAAUUCCACUAUGGAUCGCACUACUCAAGUGCAGGAACUGUCUUAUAUUAUCUUGUUCGGGUUGAACCAUUCACAACCCUUGCAAUCAAACUACAAGGUGGAAAAUUUGAUCAUGCAGAUCGAAUGUUUUCUGAUAUUUCUGCUACUUGGAAUGGAGUUCUUGAGGACAUGAGUGAUGUGAAGGAAUUGGUUCCUGAGCUAUUUUACCUCCCUGAGGUCCUCACAAAUGAAAAUUCAAUUGACUUUGGCACAACACAAUUGGGAGGAAAGCUUGAUACUGUACAACUUCCUGCUUGGGCUGAGAAUCCAGUUGAUUUUGUGCACAAGCAUAGGAUGGCUCUGGAAAGUGAGUAUGUAUCUGCUCAUUUGCAUGAGUGGAUUGACCUCAUAUUUGGGUAUAAGCAACAGGGCAAAGAGGCUAUUACAGCAAAUAAUGUUUUCUUUUAUAUUACCUAUGAAGGGACAGUGGAUAUUGAUAAAAUAUCAGACCCAGUGCAACAGCGUGCCACACAAGAUCAGAUUGCUUAUUUUGGACAAACACCAUCCCAACUUCUGACUGUUCCUCACUUGAAGAAGAUGCCACUGUCGGAAGUUCUACAUUUGCAGACAAUAUUCCGCAACCCAAAAGCAGUCAAACCAUAUGCUGUUCCAUCCCCUGAACACUGCAAUCUACCAGCGGCUGCCAUGCACGCGUCUUCAGAUAUGGUUGUGGUUGUUGGUUUGAAUGCACCAGCAGCUAAUGUUGCACAGCACAAGUGGCAACCAAAUACACCUGAUGGCCACGGCACACCGUUCCUCUUUCAACAUGGAAGAGCAUCAGGCUCCGCUGGUGGGACUAUUAAACGAAUGUUCAAAGGUCCUGCUGGGUCUGGUGAAGAUGGCCAAUAUCCCCAAGCAUUAGCUUUUGCUGUUUCUGGAAUUAGAAGCCAAGCAAUUGUUUCUAUAACAUGUGACAAAGAAAUUAUUACUGGUGGGCAUGUUGAUAAUAGUAUUAGGUUGAUAUCCUCAGAUGGUGCUAAAACCUUGGAAACAGCCUUUGCACACUGUGCUCCUGUAACUUGUGUUGGUCUUUCACCCAAUAGUGACUACCUGGUGACAGGAUCCCAAGAUACAAUAGUAAUACUCUGGAGAAUACAUCGGGCCCUUGCAUCUCAAUCAAGUGUCGUAUCAGAGUCCUCUACUGGGUCCGGCACACUGCCUUCAACCAGCAGUAGUUCUUCAUCGCAUCUGUUGAUAGAAAAGAAUCGUAGACGUCGUAUUGAGGGUCCUAUACAGGUACUUCGGGGGCACCGCAGUGAAAUACUCAGUUGUUGUGUCAGCUCAGAACUUCGAAUAGUUGUUUCAUGCUCCCUCUCGUCAGAUGUUCUCCUGCACUCUAUAAGAAAGGGACGUUUAAUAAGAAGGCUGAAUGGUGUGGUGGCCCAUACUGUCUGCCUUUCCUCUGAAGGGGUUGUCAUGACUUGGAAUGAGUCAAAGCAUAUUCUAAGUACCUUUACUCUUAAUGGUGUUCUGAUUGCUAAAACAGAAUUAUCUUUCUCUAGCAGCAUUAGUUGCAUGGAAAUUUCUGUUGACGGGAGGAGUGCUUUGAUUGGAAUAAAUUCUCAAGAAAAUGGUGGAUCCUAUAAAAACAGUUGGAAUUUUCAACCGAGUAAGUCAGGUACUGUUGAUUUUGAUUCAGAAUCAGAAGAAACUCACGAUGGCGACGGAAUAAAUGCUCCAUCACCAUCAAUUUGCUUCCUGGAUUUGCACACUUUGCAGGUAUUUCAUGUAUUGAGGCUGAGAGAAGGACAGGACAUUACAGCUCUUGCUCUAAAUAAGGAUAACACAAAUCUAUUGGUUUCAACUAUGGAUAAACAAUUGAUUAUCUUUACAGAUCCAGCUCGUGGUAGAUUUUGAUAUUUUUAUAUGCCUGUUGGACCAAAUGCUCACAAAUCAGAUUCUGCUACAUUGCACUAGUGAUUGAGCUUGAAAGUGGUCGAUCAAAUGCUCAAGCUUGGUUGGGAAGGUGAUGGGCUUAAGCACCUCAUAAAAUGAUAAACUUUUAGGGCGUAUGAAAGUGGAUUACAGGACUUUUAUACAUAAUAACUAUUAGGAAAAUAGAAUGGAGUUAUAGCACCCCUGUUUGUAAGCAUUAUGAUUGCAUCUCUAUGGUGCAAAGACAUCCUGUACCAUAUGUAACAACCAAUUCUUACCAGCUACCACCAUAGUAUUAGGUUAUUAGAUUUAGCUUUGGGUUCUUUUGCUCUCCCAGUUCAGCUGAAACAUUAAUAUCUAACAAGCUUUUGACUGAGAUUUGAGCCAUUACAGUUUUUUUCCUCUAUUUUUCUAUUACAGUGAAUGAAAAUAUCAUAACCUUCUUUCUUUUAACACUUUUCGGAUGUAAUACCUGCCUUCUAUACAUAUUAAUAAAAAUAUUUCAAUGGUUAAUAUGUUA